rnacentral:rRNA from 1 species
CGCGCAGGCGGCCAGGUCAGUCGAAUGUGAAAGCCCCCGGCUCAACUGGGGAAGGUCGUUCGAUACUGCCUGGCUUGAAGGUAGGAGAGGGAAGUGGAAUUUCAGGUGUAGUGGUGAAAUGCGUAGAUAUCUGAAGGAACACCAGUGGCGAAGGCGACUUUCUGGCCUAUUCUUGACGCUGAGGCGCGAAAGCUAGGGGAGCGAACG